AUCAUGCCAGAUCUCUCACCCGAUGCCGUUUCAUGACCAGAUCUGUGAGGAUGAAGGUCUGCAAUCCUUGGGGGACGGAAGAGAGUGAUGGUGGUGAUGAUCCGGUUACAGGCUUUGAGAAAGACCCUGCGAUUGAUGAAAAGGGAUAUGAGAAAGACCCUGUGAUUGGAUCAGACGUAACAGAUCAGACGUUCUCAGCGGGUCGCAGGCUUUGAGAAAGACCCUGCGAUUGUUGAAAAGCAAUUCAGGAAGCCACCCGUAACGGAUCAGACGUUCUCAGCGGGUCGCACGCAGACAUUCGCAGGACAAUGAACCGUUGAUGCGUGCACUAUCCAAGCUUAUAUACGUCAACAGUCCAGAUCUGGUACUUUUUGUCGGGGAAGCAUUGGUCGGUAAUGAUGCUGUGGAUCAACUCUCAAAGUUCAAUCAGAAAUUAACCGACAUGUCACCCUCACAGAGCCCUAAGUUGAUUGACGGGAUCUUGCUAACCAAGUUUGAUACCAUAGAUGAUAAGGUUGGAGCUGCACUGUCUAUGGUUUACAUAUCAGGAGCGCCUGUGAUGUUUAUCGGGCGUGGACAGUCUUAUACAGAUCUCAAAAAGCUGAAUGUGAAGGCUAUUGUGAAGGCUACUUAAAUGAGGGUGCACAUGAAGUGGCUUCAUUUAUGGUUUGUUUUCUACACCUACUUCUGUCAAUGUACUCUUCGAGCUUGAAUCUGUUAUUUCAGUUUGUCUGUGUUGAAUCUUGUGGGUAUGGUAGCAACUAGCAAGUGCAGAUACACCCUCCUGAUCAUAGUCGCUCGGUACUAUUUUGGGGUUGGUGUUCUUAGGGUAUAUCUGGGAGACCCAACAGGGUUCUACUAUUGUUGGCUAUGUCAUCUAGAAAUGAACCCGCUAUGUCACCGAAGAUUCUUAACGGAGCUGCUGUCAAAGAGGAAAAGGUAAGGCAUAUCGGUUUUUUUCUGAGAUGCUAAAAAAAUAAGAAGAAAACAAUAAAGCCAACUCACUCAUGCGGAUUAUUACUCAGUCUGAUUCAAGUGAGAUAAAGAAGAAAGCAGCUGAAGGAAUCCUCACAUGUUUGCAGGAUGCGAUAGAUUUUCUCAAGGAGGGACGGGUAUGUAAUAUGGCAUGCUUACUUGUUAUGUUCAAUUUCUUACUAGGUAGAAUACAAAAAAGUUGGUUAAACGGGGUACGGGUCAAAUGGGUCAAAAGUGCAAGAAUUGUAAUUAAAGUUCAUACGUCCUCCUCAAAUGUUUUCAUUUAAAAAAUAAGUAUUUAUUGAAAUAAUAUAAUCUUUUAUUCAUAUAUAACACUAUAUUCUUAUUAAUAAUACUAAAAAGCUUGACUGAUUUACUACUUACUAGCACAUGUGAUAUUUACUACUUACUAGCACAUGUGAUAUUUUUUUUUCUUGAAUGGGGCUAUAUUAAUAUAAAAGCUUGACUGAAUCUUAUUGCUGAUGCUUUUUAUGGCUUCAUGAAACAAUUUGUCUGUCUUAUGAUUUACUACUUACUAGCACAUGAUUUCAUAAUAACUUCAUUCAUUUUAGAGCUUAGGUUGAUUGCUUCUAUUCACAAAAUAACUAAUCCCCUUUUGUUAUCGUAUAAAAAUUGCAUUUAUCGCCGCCGCCAAGCAUCGUUCUUAUUGCAUACUUGGAACGGUUCGCCGAAAUCAUGGGCAACUUUCAAGCCAUAUAUUUGUAUGUGGGCUGACUUUAGAUCACUUUUCAAACCUGGCGAGGCGCACUCAAGGCGAUUUGUUGGGCCUAGGCGCUCGCUUUAAUAACUAUGCAGAAGAUUAUGAACUAACGUGAAGAUUAAAGGCGCGAGGCGCACUCAUGGCGAUUUGUUGGGCUCGGGGCAUUAUUUGCGCCUAGGCGCCGCCUGAGCGCUCGCUUCAAUAACAAUUGCUUCAUUUGACGGAUUGCUUGUAGAGUGUGGACUGUUUGAGUGGAAAGGAAAGUACUUGUGGUAUGAUAUGUUAUUAUAACUCUUUUUUUAUCAAUUAAUACUUGUUUUAAGCUUUUUGUGAAAGUUUAUUAUUAAAAAGAGCUUCA